GACUGUUGAAGGUUCGGCCUCACCAGAUCCGUUGACGACCGUUGACGAGAUGUUUAAGAAUAAUCAUCAUGACCACAAGCAAAAAGUGGAAGCCAUGAUUAAGAACAUUAAUACAAUUUCUUUGGAGGUGAAGAAGAUGAAAGGCCCAAAGGAACAGGAACAGGCGACCAUCCCAGAAAGUCAAACUGUCUAACUGAAGGCCAGCGAAUGCAAGUAGCAUCUAGUAGGAAGGACCUGACUCAAUACCAAUCACAUCUUUUGCUCCCAUGAAACCUCUGUCAUGUGCUGACCUAUAUCUACUGAGCCUUCAACAUCUGGCUCUGAGAUCUCCUGAAAAUGUGUUCAGCUUACACCUGCCUCCUCACUGCUCUGAAGAUCUGGGCUCCUACGGGGACCUGGCUGAUGAUGGUGUACUUUAUAUCAGUACAGAGGGAAAGAGCUGGGUACCCAAGAAGACCCCCUAGUUAUGCAUUUAUCUGACAUGAAAAUGAUUUGGGAAAUGAUUCUUGUAGGUAAGGAGAUAAUCUAUGCAUUGAUCCUUCUGAGACACAGGGGCAAUGCAGAGAAGCAAAACCUUCUCUCCAUGCUUCAGUGAGACUCUGAAGGACUCUACAGAGCAGUUAUUCUCAACCGUCCUAAUGAAUCUUUUAGUACAGUUCCUCAUGUUGUGAUGACCCCCAACCAUAAAACUAUUUGCAUUGCUGCUUC
ensembl:processed_transcript